CCCACUGAGUUUAACCAUAUCAAUAAGUAGAGGAAAAGAAAAACCAGAACAACCCAGCCUUAGAAUUGGGCGGCUCUGUCGUCCAAAUUGUAGUCUGGAGAAGCGUCCUCAGAGGUGGAUCGGGCCCAAGUCCCCUGGAAGGGGGCGCCAGAGAGGAUGAGAGCCCCGUUCUGCUCGGACCCUGUCACACCAUGACACGAUGUCUACGAGUCAGGUUGUUUGGGAAUGCAGCCUAAAUUAGGCGGUGAAUUACGUCCAAGGCUAAAUACGGGCGAGAGACCGAUAGAGAACAAGUACCGCGAGGUAAAGAUAAAAAGGACUUUGAAAAGAGAGUCAAAGAGUGCUUGAAAUUGUCGGGAGGAAAGCAGAUGAGGGCCGGUGAUGCGCCCCGAUCAGAUGUGGAACGGCGAUGAGCCGAUCCGCCGAUCGACUCAGGGCGUGGACCAGUAUGGAUUGGGGGGCGGCCAAAGCCCGGGCUGUCGAUACGCUCGUGGAACGCCGUCUCCUCGAUUGUGGCAGGCAGCGCACGCCUCCGACAUGCUUUAGCAUCUGCGCACUCCAGAUGCUGGCCUGUGGGCUCCCUAUUCAACCUGUCUUGAAACACGA
rnacentral:ncRNA from 1 species